CAGAACUCCACGUUUUUUUCAUCCUUUUUAACACUAAGGGCCAUUUAACACACUUGACGGGACCAAAUACAGAUGUCCAACUGUUCAGCCUCAAUAGCAACCACCAGCAAAGCAGUUCCACUUUGCGUCCACAGGUCAAUGCCUCUUGCUUGUCUCUCCAAUGGAAUAAUUAAUUAAAAAGGCAACUACGUAGUUUUGCUCAUUUUCCUAUUCAAAAGCUGAUCCCAGGAUCCAAAUAUAUCCCAAUUUAAGGGAAACUCCUCAGAUCCUCCUGGAUGCCACGACUGUCCGUGACUCACUCAUACUCCUGAGCAUCUAUCAAAGGCCGGCUACGUUUGGCCAAAUCCAUCUCUUGGCUCCAGUGGUGUUACUUGAGCAGGGUAAAUCUGACUGAGCUUGUUGCUGAAGGCCACGCAAAUUCAGUGCCCUUCCUGCUCGUCCAAAGCUCCUGCACUGUGCCCAAAGCAUUUAGGUAGCAACUUUUGGUGGAGAGGCCUUUCAUCUCUGAAGUUUCUGCUCCGUUCCCGUGGCGACGAGCACAACCCGGGUGAUCAUGAAUGAAGCCUAUUGUGUUCCUCCCAUCGCCUUCUUCCCCAAAUUACUCGUACCUGCUACUGCUAGCAAAGUGAGGCCAUCUGCACAGCUUUCACCUACCUUGAAAGGAAGAUUAACUGUAGAAAUCUACCUUCCCCCUCCGCUCCUGGAAAAUGAGAUUCAUUCUCCCACUGUGACCACAGCAAGCUUUUUAACCCACCACCGUGACCUCGAGGUUGGAUUUGCCCCACUCAGAUGUCUGGGGCUGCAGAUAACCCCUCUGUUGGAGAAGUCACCCGAAGCUGGUAUUUGCAAGAAGGCAAGGAUGAGCCCUGCUAGCAGAAUCAUUUAACAGCUUGGCUGCAAUUUACCUGCACACGCUUCACUACUAAUUCUUCCAAACCAUGAGGGGUGUCAGCCCAUACUACAGCUGGUUAAAAGCAGAGAAAAUUCCAUUUAUACUUAUAAUAUAUUUACUGCUGGAAUUAAAACUCUCUCAAUACUCUGAGGGAUGUUCACCUCCUUCUCAAGGCACUGGGAGCAUAAGUUACCUGCCCGCUUGUUGGUUUCACACUAAAGGAUUUUAUUUGCUGAAGGCAAGGAAGAUGGGCAGAGAGCCAUCUGGGUUUUGUUCAUUUUUUUAGUUGUAUAGGCUAAGAAAAAAAAGAGAGAGAGAGGAAAGAGAAAAGCUUUUCCCCCUCCCUCAGUCUUUAGAGGAAUUUCAGCUUUUUGGAGAUCCCAAAUCCCAGCUCCCCUUAGACGCUCCUGCCUGGAGCCGAUGGAGAGCCCUCAUCCACAACAGCCCCGUACGUCAGAGCAUGGGCUGGGGGCAGCUGCUCUCCCGGCCACCCCCUGCACAGCCCCAUGUCUUGACUGCCCCUAUCACAGCUGUCCUGCUCCCCAGCACCAUCCUGACCCAGCUGUCCUCACGGCCCCUGCGAUGGACGCUCCGCCACUCGUCUUGCUCUAGAGACCGGGGAUGCAAAGAGCGCCGCUAAGCCAGGAGCUCCAGUUCGGGGCUAGGUACUGACUUUC
ensembl:lncRNA